AGUUUAAUAAUUUAUAAAAAAUAAUAAAUUGCAAAUUUAUAUAAAUCAAAUUAUGAUUUAAACUU
rnacentral:tRNA from 1 species